CCUACGGGAGGCAGCAGUGAGGAAUAUUGGUCAAUGGACGAGAGUCUGAACCAGCCAAGUAGCGUGAAGGAUGACUGCCCUAUGGGUUGUAAACUUCUUUUAUAAAGGAAUAAAACGAGGCACGUGUGCCUUUUUGCAUGUACUUUAUGAAUAAGGAUCGGCUAACUCCGUGCCAGCAGCCGCGGUAAUACGGAGGAUCCGAGCGUUAUCCGGAUUUAUUGGGUUUAAAGGGAGCGUAGAUGGGUUGUUAAGUCAGUUGUGAAAGUUUGCGGCUCAACCGUAAAAUUGCAAUUGAUACUGGCAGUCGUGAGUACAGUUGAGGUAGGCGGAAUUCGUGGUGUAGCGGUGAAAUGCUUAGAUAUCACGAAGAACCCCGAUUGCGAAGGCAGCUUACUAAACUGCCACUGACAUUGAUGCUCGAAAGUGUGGGUAUCAAACAGGAUUAGAUACCCCUGUAGUC
rnacentral:rRNA from 1 species